UGCUAAACCGCUUUGUGAGGUCUCCUGGAGUUUGUGCAAUCCACUACUGCCUGCCUGGAAGAGUAUCUGCUAAAAUAAGAGUUUUAUGUGUUCCAUUGCCUUUUGCUACGUAACAAACAAUUCUGUGGACAGAUUGCAUUUUCUAAAGAUGAUCGUGACAAAUAACUCCCAUCUCACAUGCCCUUCUAGAAACUUGCCAUUCCCCUAUCAGGUUUCAACUCAGAGGGUGGAACCAAGAGCUACAGAGAACAACUCACAGAGAGUAAACUGAGCACCAAUGGAAGAAUUGGCAACAUGUUCUCAGCUGGAUUUCAGAAUGGCUAGGGGCCAGUGACUGUCGUGUGCCUCCCAUAUUCCCCAUUUUUGAACAGGAAUAUCUUUCACAGAUCUUCAGAUUGAGAAGAAAGAUACUCAAGGAGCUAUACCCAAGGGAUUAUACCUAAGGAACUUCAUCUGCACCUGGACCUGAUAUAAAUGAUACAAUCUUAGACUUUGAGCCUGAGCAUGAUGCUGUAAUGGAAUGAGACUUUGGGCGGGGGUGGGCUUUAAAGGAGGGAUGACCAUAUUUUACACGUGGGAGGAAUGUGAACCAUUGUGGCUAGAAGGCAGAUUUUCCAAAGGUGGUUACAAUGUUUCCCAUUCCACCUGUUCUUCUAGAAUCUUUCCACUCUCCUUUUGAGAGGUGGACUCCAUGUUCUCCUUGAACUUGGUGGGUCUUUGUGAUUGCCUUGACCAGUAGUGUACAGCAAGAGUGAUGCUAUGUAGCUUCCAAGACUAGGUCAAAAACAUGCCAUACAAUUCAACUUUGCUAUGUUGGGAUGCUCACUCUUGGAACCCAGCCCAAUUAGCCAUUGUAAAGGCCCACAUGGAGAGAACUGAGACCCUGUGAACCAUAGCCCUGCCUGAGAUCUUAGCUGACAGCCAAUACCAACUUGCCUGCCACGUGAGUGAGAAAAAUUAAUGGUUAAUGUUUUUUUUUAAAUAAAUUUAUUUAUUUUUGGCUGCAUUGGGUCUUCUUUGCUGUGCGCGGGCUUUUCUCUAGUUGCAGAGAGCAGGGGCUACUCUUUGUUGUGGUGCGCAGGCUUCUCAAUGUGGUGGCUUCUCUUCUUGUGGAGCACGGGCUCUAGGCGCAGGUUUCAGUAGUUGUGGCACGCGGGCUCUAGAGCGCAGGCUCAGUAGUUUUGGCGCACGGGCUUAGUUGCUCCGCAGCAUGUGCGAUUUUCACGGACCAGGGCUUGAACCCGUGUCCCCUGCAUUGGCAGGUGGAUUCUUAACCACUGUGCCACCAGGGAAGUCCGAGAAUGGUUAAUGUUUUAAGCCUCUGUGUUUUGGGGUGGUUUGUUACAAAGCAAUAGAUAACUGAAAUGCCCCCCAAAACACAGUCACAUAAAAAAAUAUUUUGUUCACAGAUCCACAAUUUGGACAGUGCUUGACUGGGACAACUCUUCUCUGUUUCAGGAUAUCUAAAGCCUUCACUGGGAAGAUUCACACGGCUGGGGGCUAGAAUCAUCUUGAGGUUUUUUCAGUCACAUCCCUGUACUUGGACUGAGGUGACUCAAAGGUUGAGCUCAUUUGGGACUGUUACAGGAAGAGCUUACAGUUGGCCUCUCCGUGUAUUUGGGGCUUCCUCACAGCAUCACAGCCUCAAAGUUGUAAAACUUCUUAGGGUGGCUCAGGGCUCCAAGAGCAGGUGUUCCCAGCAAACAAGGUGGGAUCACCUUUAUGGCCUUUACGACCUACCUUCUGAAAUCAUAAAGCAUCAAUUCUGCUGUACUCUACUAACUGAGGCAGUCAGAAACCCAUCCAGAUUUGAGGGGAGGGGACAUAGAUCUCCCACCUCUUGGUGGCAGAAGUGUCAAAGAAUUUAUGUUAUAAAUUCUAUGUUAUAAAACUGCCACAAACAAUUUUUCUGUUAAUGUGUUAAAUAUGGUUAACUUGCUUGAGGUUUAUGGUUGUUAUGAACUGAAUGUGUCCCCUCAAAACUCAUGUUGGGCUUCCCUGGUGGCGCAGUGGUUGAGAGUCUGCCUGCCAGUGCAGGGGAUACGGGUUCGGGCCCUGGUCUGGGAGGAUCCCACAUGCCGCGGAGCGACUGGGCCCGUGAGCCACAAUUACUGAGCCUGCGCGUCUGGAGCCUGUGCUCCGCAACGAGAGAGGCCGCGAUGGUGAGAGGCCCGCGCACCGCGAUGAGGAGUGGCCCCCGCUUGCCACAACUGGAGAAAGCCCUCGCACGGAAACGAAGACCCAACACAGCCAUAAAUAAAUAAAUAAAUAAAGAAAGAAAGAAAGGCAAGUAACUUUAUUAAAAAAACAAAAAACAAAAAAACUCGUAUGUUGAAAUCCGAAACCCCAAUGUGAUGGUAUUUGAAGGUAGAACCUUUGGGAGGUUGUUAGGUUUAAAUGAAAUCAUGAGAGUGAAGCCCCCAUGAUGGGAUUAGUAUCCUUAUGAAAUGAGGAAGAGAAACUGGAGCUCCCUCUCUCUCCCUGCCACGUAAGGACACAGGAAGAAGGCAGCCAUCUAUAAGCCAGGAAGAGGCCCCACCAGGAACUGACUCUGCCAGAACCUUGAUCUUGGACUUCCUAGCCUCCAGAACUGUGAGAAAUAAAUGUCUGUUGUUUAA